GCUCGGGUGGUCUAGUGGUAUGAUUCGCGCUUAGGGUUAACCCUUAGCAUAACUGCGCGAGGUCCCGUGUUCGAUCCACGGCUCGAGCC